rnacentral:rRNA from 1 species
UACGUAGGGGGCAAGCGUUAUCCGGAUUUAUUGGGUUUAAAGGGUGCGCAGGCGGAUUUUUAAGUCAGCGGUCAAAUCGUGGGGCUCAACCCCAUCCAGCCGUUGAAACUGGGGGCCUUGAGUGGGCGAGAAGUACGCGGAAUGCGCGGUGUAGCGGUGAAAUGCAUAGAUAUCGCGCAGAACUCCGAUUGCGAAGGCAGCGUACCGGCGCCAGACUGACGCUGAGGCACGAAAGCGUGGGGAUCGAACAGG